rnacentral:rRNA from 1 species
GACGAACCGUGCGAACGUUAUUCGGAAUCACUGGGCUUAAAGGGCGCGUAGGCGGGCUCGCAGGUCAGGGGUGAAAGCCCACGGCUCAACCCGUGGAAGUGCCUUUGAUACCGUGAGUCUCGAGGGAGGUAGGGGCGUGCGGAACUUCCGGUGGAGCGGUGAAAUGACGUAGAUAUCGGAAGGAACAUCGGUGGCGAAAGCGGCGCGCUGGACCUCUUCUGACGCUGAGGCGCGAAAGCCAGGGGAGCAACGGG